rnacentral:rRNA from 1 species
CUAUGCGCCUUGCCAGCCCGCUCAGGUGUGCCAGCAGCCGCGGUAAUACGUAGGUGGCGAGCGUUAUCCGGAAUGAUUGGGCGUAAAGGGUGCGCAGGCGGUCCUGCAAGUCUGGAGUGAAACGCAUGAGCUCAACUCAUGCAUGGCUUUGGAAACUGGAGGACUGGAGAGCAGGAGAGGGCGGUGGAACUCCAUGUGUAGCGGUAAAAUGCGUAGAUAUAUGGAAGAACACCAGUGGCGAAGGCGGCCGCCUGGCCUGUUGCUGACGCUGAGGCUCGAAAGCAUGGGUAGCGAACAGG